rnacentral:rRNA from 1 species
UACGUAGGUGGCAAGCGUUGUCCGGAUUUACUGGGCGUAAAGAGCGCGCAGGCGGUCGUCCAAGUCGCGUGUGAAAGCCCCCGGCUCAACUGGGGAGGGUCACGCGAUACUGGUCGACUCGAAGGCAGGAGAGGGUAGUGGAAUUCCGGGUGUAGCGGUGGAAUGCGUAGAGAUCCGGAAGAACACCGGUGGCGAAGGCGGCCUGCUGGGCAGUAGCUGACACUGAGGCGCGACAGCGUGGGGAGCAAACAGG